UGGGGAAUCUUCCGCAAUGGGCGAAAGCCUGACGGAGCAACGCCGCGUGAGUGAAGACGGCCUUCGGGUUGUAAAACUCUGUGAUUCGGGACGAAAGAUAAGUAGACGAAUAAUCUGCAUAAGUGACGGUACCGAAAAAGCAAGCCACGGCUAACUACGUGCCAGCAGCCGCGGUAAUACGUAGGUGGCAAGCGUUGUCGGGAAUUAUUGGGCGUAAAGCGCGCGCAGGCGGCUACUUAAGUCCAUCUUAAAAGUGCGGGGCUUAACCCCGUGAUGGGAUGGAAACUGAGAAGCUGGAGUGUCGGAGAGGAAAGUGGAAUUCCUAGUGUAGCGGUGAAAUGCGUAGAGAUUAGGAAGAACACCGGUGGCGAAGGCGACUUUCUGGACGACAACUGACGCUUAGGCGCGAAAGCGUGGGGAGCAAACAGG
rnacentral:rRNA from 1 species